rnacentral:rRNA from 1 species
GAUGAACGCUAGCGGUGCGCCUAACACAUGCAAGUCGAACGGGGAAGUCUGCGAUUACAUCAAGGACGACCUAGUGGCGAACGGGUGAGUAACGAGUUUGUACCUGCCCCGUAGUGAGGGAUACCCUAUCGAAAGAUAGGCUAAUACCGCAUGGUCCCGCAAGGGUAAAGCCGCAAGGCGCUACGGGAGGGGCAUGCUUUCUAUCAGCUAGUUGGCGGGGUAAAGGCCCACCAAGGCUAUGACGGAUAGCUGGUCUGAGAGGACGGCCAGCCACAAUGGGACUGAGACACGGCCCAUACUCCUACGGGAGGCAGCAGUGAGGAAUCUUCCACAAUGGGCGAAAAC